rnacentral:lncRNA from 10 species
AUGAAGGAAGUCUUUUGUCUUUAGUAAGUAUGUAAUUCCCACUUUUCAGAUAUGCCUCAAAAAAAUCAAAUCCACCAAAUUUUUUUUGGCCACUGCUGGAUAUUAUUAUAUAAGCUCAUUAACAGGAUGCUAAACAUAAAACUGAAUAGCAAACAAUGCUAUUCAAAUGCUUUAGAUUUCCAGCCUGGAGAAGUGAAAGCUAUUUUACAAUAAACUAGAAAUUAGCCCCGUUAGUCCCAUAUCAUUGCUAUCAUUUGCAAGAGACAUAGCCAUUUAAUGAAUAUACAUUAUCCUGAAUAUUAAUUUCCUAUUAUUAUAAAAUGUCAGGCCAGCACAAUUGUUGGCCUUGUCAUCUUGUAAUACUCCAUGAUAUGACAGAAAAUUGUUCUCUAAAGGAAACUAUUGAAGAAAUAAAUCUAUUUCAACAAUUUUUUAAAAAUUUUAUCUCUAUAUAGCAAAUUCAUGUAAAGUAAUAUAAGAACUCUUCAGAUUUAUACUUUAUUUCUAAAAUAACAUAACUGAACUAAAACUGAUUUGGGGGAUAUGUAUGUAUAUAACUAUAUUUUCUCUCCUAAUAAAACAAAAUUUAUUGGUACCCAAAUUCAUCACACCAUACAUAAAACAAUAGCAUAGAUGUUACCUAAGGUGUCAUUCUAAUAUCAAAUAUCUAAGUACAUUAUAAAAGUCUGCUUAACAAUCAUUUAACAUUUUCCAUCUUCCCAUUGAAAUACACAUGGGGUACUCAACACGCUCUACAUCUCGACAUUGGAGAUUGAAGAUUCAACAUUACAGGAUCUUGAGAUAAAUUAUCCUUUGUUACAGUGCACAAGUUUCUGAAAUGAGCCAGAGCAGCAUGCAGUUCUGUAGCCUGAGAGGUCCCAGAUCAAGGCACCAGCAGGUUCCCUGUCUGGUGAGGUCCCCAUCUCUCUGCUUUCAAAAUGGUGACUCAAACACUGUGUCCUCACAUGCAAUCACGGCAGAAAGCGAACGGGAAGCAAGGCACCUUCUCCAUAAGGGAGCAGGAAGGAGAAGUGGCAAGCAAAGGAGAAAGAGCCCCUUAUAAAACCAUCAGGUCUCCUGAGAACUCACUCACUAUCAGGAGAACAGCUUGA